rnacentral:rRNA from 1 species
UACGUAGGGGGCAAGCGUUGUCCGGAUUAUUGGGCGUAAAGAGCGUGUAGGCGGCCAGACAAGUCUGCUGUGAAAACUCGAGGCUCAACCUCGAGCUGUCGGUGGAAACUGUCUGGCUAGAGUCCGGAAGAGGAGAGUGGAAUUCCUGGUGUAGCGGUGAAAUGCGCAGAUAUCAGGAAGAACACCUAUGGCGAAGGCAGCUCUCUGGGACGGUACUGACGCUGAGACGCGAAAGCGUGGGGAGCGAACAGG